CAGCAGCCGCGGUAAUGCGUAGGGGGCAAGCGUUGUCCGGAAUCAUUGGGCGUAAAGCGCGUGUAGGCGGUUCGAAAAGUUCGCUGUGAAAGUCCAAGGCUCAACCUUGGAAUGCCGGUGAAAACUAUCGAGCUAGAGUCCGGAAGGGGAGUGUGGAAUUCCUGGUGUAGCGGUGAAAUGCGCAGAUAUCAGGAGGAACACCAAUGGCGAAGGCAGCACUCUGGGACGUGACUGACGCUGAGACGCGAAAGCGUGGGGAGCAAACAGGAUUAGAUACCCGCGUAGUCCCUGUCUCUUAUAC
rnacentral:rRNA from 1 species